UUAAAAAAUUUGCAAUCCCACACAUAACAAGAAAAAAAAUAUCUACACAUUUCUGCUUAAUGCUUGUAUAGUGUGUGGUUUACUGGAAAUGACCAAGACAUUGCAUCACACACACAACCAAACCAGAUGUCAGUUGAAGUACCAAGACUGACCUGUGAGGGCCAGCAUAAUGUCACAGGGCAUCCAGACUGUUGGAAAAUACAAGGAAGAAGAAAGCAGAAGAACCUGAAGAUGCUUGGCUAAUUUACAUUAUAUGGUUGAUGCAUCGGAUACAAGAGUGGGGCCGGCCCAUUCUCACCAAUUCCCAGUCAACCAGAAGCUGCACCCUUGCACCUCCUUCUCGCGUUGCCGCAGUUCUGCAGAAGAGACUUGAUCCCUGUCAGGCACGUUGGGCCCUGUUUCUCACCCCGUUUGACUUCGUCAUCACCGACUGUCCAGUCUUAUAGAACGGCAAACCGGAUGGUCUGUCCAGGAUGUACAGCUCGAGGACAGUGUGCUGGAGGACAUCAUACAAGACGACAGGAUUGUCAGGGGUCUCCAGUGGGAGGUGGAGAUCAGAUUGGACAGCAUGGCAGAGGAGGCGCAGGUCCCCCAAGGGUACCCUGUGGAUGAACUGUUUGUUCUCGUUCACCUACGACCAAAAGUGGCUUGCCAUCCAGGCAUAAAUAGGACUCAAUUCCUCAUUGGCCAAAGGUUUUGGUGGCCAGGGCAUCGGAAGAACAUUAAGGAAUUUUUUGCCGCCUGCUCUGUCUGGCACUAAGAAACCAUCCCACUGAGUGUCCGGCGCACACCUGCUUGGUAUCAUGAUCAGUUAGGUUCUUAAGCGCCGGAUAGAUGGGAGCUAGUCGCCGGAAUAUUGUUGUUCAUUGUCAUUUGCCAGUUUGAUCAUGUGCUUUUGCCUGCCAUGUUUUGGCCUAGCAAUCAUUUUCCUUGUAAUUAUUUUUAUUGUAUUUCCGAGAAUGUUCUUGUAUAGAUUAGAUUUCUGUGUUCUUAUUAAUCGACAUUUAUUUAGACUUGUGAAGUCCAGAAACUGCUCCUUUGUUUGUGUAUCUUUCCCUUCAUUUCCUGUUUGAGUAUUUAGAUUAUGUUUAGGUUACGCCUUUGCGCUAGUUCUUAACCCAUGUAUUUUCCUCUACGGCUGAGUUUUGUAAACAUGCCCCUUUUUUGAAUGUGUUGCAGGCAUCAAAUUAAAAAUGAGUGAAUA